CUGCGGAAGGAUCAUUACCGAGUGCGGGCCCCUCGGGGCCCAACCUCCCACCCGUGUUGCCCGAACCUAUGUUGCCUCGGCGGGCCCCGCGCCCGCCGACGGCCCCCCUGAACGCUGUCUGAAGUUGCAGUCUGAGACCUAUAACGAAAUUAGUUAAAACUUUCAACAACGGAUCUCUUGGUUCCGGCAUCGAUGAAGAACGCAGCGAAAUGCGAUAACUAAUGUGAAUUGCAGAAUUCAGUGAAUCAUCGAGUCUUUGAACGCACAUUGCGCCCUCUGGUAUUCCGGAGGGCAUGCCUGUCCGAGCGUCAUUGCUGCCCUCAAGCCCGGCUUGUGUGUUGGGCCCCGUCCCCCCCGCCGGGGGGACGGGCCCGAAAGGCAGCGGCGGCACCGCGUCCGGUCCUCGAGCGUAUGGGGCUUCGUCACCCGCUCUAGUAGGCCCGGCCGGCGCCAGCCGACCCCCAACCUUUAAUUAUCUCAGGUUGACCUCGGAUCAGGUAGGGAUACCCGCUGAACUUAAGCA
rnacentral:rRNA from 1 species